rnacentral:rRNA from 1 species
CGCGGCAAGACGGAAAGACCCCGUGAACCUUUACUAUAGCUUGACACUGAACAUUGAGCCUUGAUGUGUAGGAUAGGUGGGAGGCUUUGAAGUGUGGACGCCAGUCUGCAUGGAGCCGACCUUGAAAUACCACCCUUUAAUGUUUGAUGUUCUAACGUGGACCCGUGAUCCGGGUUGCGGACAGUGUCUGGUGGGUAGUUUGACUGGGGCGGUCUCCUCCUAAAGAGUAACGGAGGAGCACGAAGGUUGGCUAAUCCUGGUCGGACAUCAGGAGGUUAGUGCAAUGGCAUAAGCCAGCUUGACUGCGAGCGUGACGGCGCGAGCAGGUGCGAAAGCAGGUCAUAGUGAUCCGGUGGUUCUGAAUGGAAGGGCCAUCGCUCAACGGAUAAAAGGUACUCCGGGGAUAACAGGCUGAUACCGCCCAAGAGUUCAUAUCGACGGCGGUGUUUGGCACCUCGAUGUCGGCUCAUCACAUCCUGGGGCUGAAGUAGGUCCCAAGGGUAUGGCUGUUCGCCAUUUAAAGUGGUACGCGAGCUGGGUUUAGAACGUCGUGAGACAGUUCGGUCCCUAUCUGCCGUGGGCGCUGGAGAACUGAGGGGGGCUGCUCCUAGUACGAGAGGACCGGAGUGGACGCAUCACUGGUGUUCGGGUUGUCAUGCCAAUGGCACUGCCCGGUAGCUAAAUGCGGAAGAGAUAAGUGCUGAAAGCAUCUAAGCACGAAACUUGCCCCGAGAUGAGUUCUCCCUGACCCUUUAAGGGUCCUGAAGGAACGUUGAAGACGACGACGUUGAUAGGCCGGGUGUGUAAGCGCAGCGAUGCGUUGAGCUAACCGGUACUAAUGAACCGUGAGGCUUAACCUUACAACGCCGAAGGUGUUU